AAAAAAAACAUUAUAUUUAUUUUAAAUUCAUUUUAGUUAUCAAAAAUAGCUAAAAUAUACCUAAAAAAAUAUAUUUAAUAUAAUAUUUAGUUUGACCUCCUGAAGUGGAGGAACAUGAUUUUCAAUGUUUCAAAUUCUAUUUUGUACCCUAUUUGUGGAAAGUGCCUUCGAUCUUGAAGCCUGUACUAGAUGUGAUUAUUAAUUGAAUGAUAUUUUGGAACGGGAAUAAUCAUAAUGCAGUCAAACACGUGAAUGUUGUACAGAAACACGGAGGAAAACAAAUAUAGUUUGUACGGGGCAAGCAUCCCUCGAUUCAUCUGCUUGAGCAAACAUAACAAGAAAUAAUAAUAAGCAAAAUCAUUUCAUCAUACCUUUCUCAGGAGAGUUACAGGCUACCAAAUCUGUUAUUAAAGUUUAUUAGAGUCAUUUUAUUUCUGUUUAUUUAAUCAAGAUAAUAACGUUUCUUUAUCUGUAUUGUCAUUUUAGUUUUAUGGUCAUUUGGUAUUACAGAGCAAUUCUUAUUUAAACCAUCACAUGUGAUCCAUAUGAUCAUGUGGUUCACGAAUGCAGAAAUGUACAAAUGUGUAAAAAAAAAAAAAAUGUAAAGAAGAAAAUUCAAGACGGUUGUGUGUAGUUUAUAUAAAAGAUGCCAAACUUACAGUAUGUUGAUUUAGCGGUCAUAUGCAUGGCUAAAACAUCAUUGUUUGUGAAUAUUACAGCAGAUGAGACUGAACAAGUGGAAUAGACACACACAAAAAAAUACACGAUCACUCAAGGAUCCUCCAGACGAUCGUUUAUGGGUGAAUAUGCCUUGCCAUGCGAACUAAGGGUUUGCCUUUUUAACUUUCACCAUUGAUCUUAUAUUUUUUUAAGUGAACAUUUACCCUCUUCCACAUGGUAAAUGGAUUGUGAAUGUGGGUUCAUUCAACACUACAAUAAAGACAUCUUAUUCACAGCUGAAGACGCAAGUUUGAGUUUGUCUGGCUGUUAGAGCCAAUCCUUUUCAUGGAAAUGCAUGUG
ensembl:lncRNA